GAAGAACGACAUCACAGAGAAGUAACAAGGAAGGACCACGUCGCAGAGCAGCUGAAGCUUUGGAAACGAGGCCAUCAAGUGCUACUUAUUCUCUUGGCCUGUCACAGAGUGGCUCUUCAUCUCCCGCAUCAGAUAGGCUGGCAGGCUCUACUCUCAGCAGCUCAUGGGAUCCCAGUGUCUCCAUUCCAAGGCGAAGUAGGCCAUUGAAUGCGGAAACAUCUGCUCCAGCGGACGUUCAACCUUCCAGAGGUUCGAGCUCCAGGAAUUAUUCAGAGGGGAUCCUUGGAGGAA